rnacentral:rRNA from 1 species
UACAGAGGGUGCAAGCGUUGUUCGGAAUUAUUGGGCGUAAAGCGCGUGUAGGCGGCUUUGCAAGUCGGGUGUGAAAGCCCUCAGCUUAACUGAGGAAGUGCGCCCGAAACUGCUUGGCUUGAGUACCGGAGAGGAUGGUGGAAUUCCCAAGUAGAGGUGAAAUUCGUAGAUAUGGGGAGGAACACCGGUGGCGAAGGCGACCAUCUGGACGGAUACUGACGCUGAGACGCGAAAGCGUGGGUAGCAAACAGG